UACGGAGGGGGCGAGCGUUAUUCGGAAUUAUUGGGCGUAAAGGGCGCGUAGGCGGCUGUACAAGUCAAAGGUGAAAUCCCUCGGCUCAACUGAGGAACUGCCUUUGAAACUGUACGGCUUGAGGCCGGGAGGGGGUAGCGGAAUUCCCAGUGUAGCGGUGAGAUGCGUAGAUACUGGGAGGAACACCAGUGGCGAAGGCGGCUACCUGGACCGGUUCUGACGCUGAGGCGCGAAAGCGUGGGUAGCAAACAGG
rnacentral:rRNA from 1 species